UACUUGCUUAAAAUAAAAAAU
rnacentral:piRNA from 1 species